rnacentral:rRNA from 1 species
AUUGAACGCUGGCGGCAGGCCUAACACAUGCAAUUCGAGGGACCGGCGCACGGGUGAGUAACACGUCUCCAACCUGCCCUUUACUCGGGGAUAGCCUUUCGCAAGAAAGAUUAAUACCCGAUAUAAAGGAUGGGGAUGCGUUCCAUUAGUUUGUUGGUGAGGUAACGGCUCACCAAGCCUUCGCUGGAUAGGGGUUCUGAGAGGAAGGUCCCCCACAGUGGAACUGAGACACGGUCCAAACUCCUACGGGAGGCAGCAGGGAGGAAUAUUGGUCAAUGGGAGCUAGCCUGAACCAGCCAAGUAGAGUGAAGGAUGAAGGCUUAUGGGUCGUAAACUUCUUUUAUAUAAGAAUAUGUAUUAUAUGAAUAAGGAGCGGCUAACUCCGUGCCAGCAGCCGCGGUAAUUC